AAGAAGUUUAUAAUUGAAGCUGCUAACUUUAAUUAGGGGCGGUGGCUCCGCUUCUUU
rnacentral:tRNA from 1 species